rnacentral:lncRNA from 1 species
ACUAAAGCCAGUAUUUAUGCAGGGUCGAGAACAAAGCAAACAUGCUUCAUCUCAAUAUAUUUAUUCCCUGUGAAAUUUCUCCUAGAAUUAUGUAGGAUGAGACAAAGCUAGAGAAACUGUACUCUUCAAGAGGAAAAGAGAUGGCCCUGCCAGACAGAACCAAGUGAAAUCAACUCUCACCUCAAAUGUGUAUCUUUAUACUGUGUUGCCUUUUUUCCUCUUCCUGUGAUUGAUCUAUAGUAAAGACUACAGAGAUCUUCCUCAGUUCCAGUAAAUAUCGCUGUUUUUCAGAAAAGGAAUACGCGUUCAGUCUGCA